GCUGGAGAUCCCUGCAUGUUUGUGGCUCCCAAUAAUAAGCAGAUUUAUUUUCUUUGUGUCUCCUAGUUGUUGUCUUUAAGUAUAAACUUAUUUGUUGUAGCUUAGAGCUGCAUAACCCUAUAAUUAUUGCUGCAUUUUCCAUUGCAUUACAGCACAGCAAUGCUUUUCACUCUAAGAUCUGAAGAGAAGGCUUUCCUUCAUAAUCUCACACUUACAGAUGUAUGUGAAGACAUUAAAAAGCAGUAGAUGUUCAAAUCACUGAUAUCAAAAUAUUUGAAUAUGUGGACUUCUGCCCUACUACUCUGUUUAUAUCAAAAUUAAAUUCUUUAAUAAUAUGAAGGAAGUGUCUUUUGUCUGACUUCUGGCUGAAUGAAGAAGCUUGAAGGAAACAGAGGAGCAACAACAAGGGGAACUACUCAGUUUAUUCCAGUUCAGCACUGAAAUGUGUGUUCUAAACUAGGAUCUUGUGGUCCUGAAACACAGCAGCUGCUCUCCUCUUCUGUUUUUGAGAAUCCAGUACAGUCUGUUGAUACUAGCACUUGAAUGGAUACUUGUCAACAAGACACGUGGCUCAAAUGACAUAAAUGAUCAUUGAGGAACAUCAAAAUGCAGAGAAGUAUGUUUUAGACUCAUGCAAUUGCUUGUAUCUUUUACACUUUGCUCUUAAGUGAUCAGUUUAGACAAUCCUCAGUACGACUGCUGUGAUCAUAUAGCCAACCUGAGAUGAGAUAAAGCAUCAGUGAUUUUGUCAUGAUUACACGAUCUUUUAAGCUGUAGUCAUAUCUGCUGAAUUGCUGUGUGAUAGAAAAACCUGUUCUCCUGAAUCCAAGACCUUCCUUCUAAAGAUCGCUCACUUUUACUGGAAGAUUUUCAUGCAUCUCUGACUGCAUCUUUUUUGAAGUGGUUUCUUCUCUAUCAUGGAUUUUUUCUGUAGCAUUGUUAUUAUAAUCUUCCACAGAGAUAACAUUUUUAAUUGCCUGUUCUAUUUUAGCUACAUAGCCUGUUCCUCAAUUCUAUUACAGAAUGGUCUGCAGAGUCACCAGGGUAUAAGAAUCUGAUUAGAAAACUUGGUGUGCUGUCUUUUUAGAAAGUAUCUUUGUGUUUUUCGCAGCAGAGGAGAAUGAACUAUAUAGUGAAGUUGUAAUACACAUAACUAAUUUGAAAUUUCAAUGACUGCUUACUUAUUCAAACAGUUAUCCCUAGAGAGAAGAAUUGAGCAAACUGUCCUUACAUUCCUCCAAUAUCUCUUGCCAAGACAUUUUACAAGCAGAUGCAACCCAAGGGUUGUAGAACUAAAAGCUAUUUAAACCCAAGUAAAAAAGUUUUCAGCAGGACUGGCAGCUCUGAAGGAUGGGGAGAAAGAUGAGAUUUUCUGAAACUGCAACGUAAGUUACGCAGAGCAGGCAAGGAAGCUGGGGAAUGCAAUAAGGUUUCCACAUCUUUCUUAUAAUUCCUUACAGCAUUUUUUUUAACCAUAAAAGAUAAGUACUUUGUUCUUUAUAUCAUUGAGGAGACUGCAAUAGAGAAACCACAAUAGCUUGUAGGCCUUUCAAGGGCAGUAAUUAUCUGUCACCUUGCUCUUGGUAAUGUUCUUGUGAGGAUAUUCUUGCAGGGAAACCAUUAAAUUCUGAAGUUAGACAACCAAGACUUCUUCAGUAGACUUAAAGAGAUAGCAUGAGGAAAGCAUUUCUCAUUGUCUUUUACACAAGUGAAGAUUCUGAUCUGCCCAGGGUGCAUAAUGGACUCUGAUAUUUACUACUAUUUUAUAUUUUACAAGAAAGCGAGGAGUGUUCAGAAAAUCCAGACUAUUUAAAUUACUGAUGGAGAAUUAAGGUGAGGCACUUCCACUGAUUACUGCAAGAUAGUUGCCCUCUUGACCUAAUUUAAUACAACAGACCUACUGAGAUGUGCAACAGGGUAUCUGGGAGAACAAUAUUCAGCAAACUGGGACAGAACUGUGUCUAAGAAUCUCUUCUUCUCACUGUUUAAAUGUGUCAGGUGAUGAGCAAGUUAUCAAAAUAUGUAUUCCCCCAGAGAAGAUCCUUCCACCCUCUUCAUUCCUCCUUGUUACACACCAUCUAUCAUUUUUGCUCCCCUCUUUGUUAGAGCAGUAUUUUGAAUCAUCUUCUCCUUCCACAGUUCCACUUGUUCCUUCCCAUACUUUCCAUAUUCCUCAGCACUGAAAUACCUUCCGUCUGUGAAGCUAAGAAUCUUCCUAGCUUAAAUCUAGCUUUAAAUCUUCCUUUUGAUCUUUUUCUUUCCAAAGACUUGAUAUUGCUUAUGCUAAGCUCACAUAUUUUUGUUGACUGACAAGUAUAAGGAGACACAAAUUGGAGCAACUCCAUCCUUCCCUCUGAGAAAUAAUGUCCGUUGUCAUAGAUGGUGACUUCCUAUGCUAAUUUCUGAGACAAAAUAAGAUUUACAGUUCUGUAUAUUAAUCUCAUAUCUUAAAAUAUCUUAAGAUCAAAUUUUAAGAAAAUUAUCACUGACUUGCCUAAAAAACCCCAAAUCUACUGGAAUACUGUACUGUUGGAAAAAGUAGGAGAAAAAUGGCCUUUGCAUUACAAUAGUUUUAAAUGAUGGCAUAUUAACCUUUGUUACUGUAUGUGUAAGCUUUUGGCUGAGUGAAUCACUGACUGAAUAAUAACGUGUUUAAUAAUCUUUUGUCAAGUGUAGUAUCUCAUCUGGAUGGUUAUCAUAAUAAAGACAGUAAUUGUUUUUUCUAAGUA